UUAGCUUAGUAUUGUAGUAGUACCGGACAAUUGCGUACAGGGUCAAAUUGAGUACAUGUGUGGUAAUAGAAGUUGGGCCUUACAUGCAUUCUACUAAUUGUGUCAUUGUGUUCUCUUUGGUGGUUGGGCUACAAAGCAGCUAUAGGUCUAUAGUAAAAACAGAAAUUCCAUAUUCACGGAAACGGAAAGUUCCAUUUCCAUGCAUAUUCCACCGGAAAACACCGUUCCAUUUUUAUUUCCAUUUCCGCAUAAAAAAUUCCAUUUCCACUUCCGUUUUGCAAAUUUCCAUUUCCGUUUUCAUAUUUCCUCUCUGUUUCCAUUUUUCCUCCGAAAAAACGGGAAGUUUUCACUCCAUUUUCAUCCCUACCCGCUCAUGGAUGGAACUCCCUCUUCGACCGUCUCUUCGGCGGCCGCCCGCGCCGGCGCCGGCGCCCAGCUCUCCCGCUCCCUGUCCACAGUUCCGUCGAUCUUUCUCUCCGGUGAGAAAAAACUUCUUCUUCGACCCGUCAAAAAGAAAAAAACCCAUCUCCAGUUGGCGUGGCUCCUAUUCUGUACGGGCUUUUGCUGGAGCAGUGUUGUGCUCGUGCUUUCGUCAACUUUGGCCCGAACCAGCUAAAAAUUUGCGGAUUCUUGGUUAGGUGUGACGGGGUGAUCUGUAAAGAAAUUGUAUCAAUGUGUUGGGAAAUUAGUCACUAUCAAGGGAAAAAAAUAGGGUGCUAUAUAAAAUAGGGUCGCCCCUAAAAAAAUACUAUAGCGCGCUAUUAGCAAGACAUUGUACACUGAUCAAUUUGGCAAGACAAUUCUCUACGUGCUAUUUUUUUCCAGUGAUCACUAUAUGCAAACACAUCACUUUCCUUGAGCUAUCCCAAAUUGAUCUGGGUCUGUGGUGAUGAAAAAUUGAGAUUUUUUUUACUAUUAGUACUUACAGGGAUAUUUACAACAAGCCCAUUGGCUGUGUCAUCUUGGAGGAAAUUAUGCAACACACGCUGUCCUAUAUGCGUAGCAUUGAUGAAAAUUUGGAGUAUUGGCGGUCCAAGAAUCGUUGGGUAACACGUUCUUACAUAAAUCUUUGAAUUCCUUUUACACUAUCAGUAAUAGCAUACAGAUAAGUUGAUCAUGUAUUUUUGGUUCUACUUAAUUAGAUUUUUAUGUCUGGAUUUUUUGUAGGGUUCAUCAUAUUCACAGACGAUAUAUUUCAUGAUAUUUGAAAGAGGUCCAACUACUUUCGUUGAAGCAACAUGCCCACGUCUGACUAGACUUGGGAACAACGGAGGUCCAUCGCAGAGCAUAUAUAAUAUUAUCUCAACAAACAUUCAUGUCCUGAAGAGUAUAAAGCGCUGCUUGGCUGUUUUUCUUGCUGAGGUUUGUAAGUUUAGUGUUUUUUUAAUGGCAAAGUACUAACAUAGCUGCCGUACUCUACUGAUUGAAGUAGAAUAAUUGAUGUCCUACUAUAGUUAAUUUUUAAACCCAUCUUUAUUCCUCUAUUAGAUAUUCCUCUGUGCUACAUGACCACAUUAUCAUUAUCAUAUACAAGAAUUAAAAUUCUGCAUCUCCUCUUCAACAGGUUUAUCAGGAAGCAGAUAUAGGCAAAGACGGAUUAACUGGAAGUCAUCGUGAAUCCUUAUGUACACUAUUUAUUGUUUUGAACCAUGUCUUUCCCAAAUUGGAGGAAUUACACAGAAAGGUGGGUCUGUGGGGUAUGCAUUGUUUUUUAUAAAUAUAAUUGGAUAGUUAAAGUAUAUUAUAUUUCCUUCUUUGAUGCAAUAAUUACUUAGUUAACUAUAUAUUUUCAGGGCCAAACUCUUCUAUUCACACAUGAUGGAAGCCCAUCUGAACUUCAAUUCAAAAGAUUGCAGAAGUUGACAUUAAUAGUUCACAAUGGACAGAUGCAUUCUCAGCAAAUGCUAUAGGUUUGAUCUAUCAAAACCUCAAGAAUCUAGAUAAUUUUGUUUCCGCUUUGGUAAGUAAUUAUUAUUUCUUCAUCUGUUAUACAUACUUAAUCAAAUCAGGAUACACCCACGUAUUCAUAGGGAUGCCACUCCUAGAUGGGAACAAGUAAUAGUCAACUUAUUCCUAGCAAUUCUGUCAUGGGGUUUGUUGCUAUUAGUGCACCGUAUACUUGAGUUUACCGAUUAGUAUUUCCUGUUUCGUUGAAGGAGCAUUAAGAUCAUGAUUGGCCAGGGAAAGUACAUUACGAUGGCUGGGAGGAGCACGUGGGUAAAGUCGAUUAUCACUUCGCAGGCCAUCCACCACCUCACUUCGCUUGUGGUGCCCAAAGGAAUGAUGGCAUCCAUCGUCAAGCUACAGCGGGCUUUUCUUUGGGGAGGCACGGAUAAAGUUUCUGGAGGCAAAUGUAAGAUAAGAUGGGAGAAAGUUUGCACGGCCAAGGACAUGGGCGGCCUAGGCAUCCUGGACAUGGAAAAAUUCGCACGUGCCUUACGGCUCAGAUGGCCUUGGUUGGUUUGGAAGAACGCGGAAAGAGCUUGGGUUGAUUUGGGGCAUCCGUGCGAUGAAGAGGACAUGGCGCUGUUUUAUGAGUGCACUUCCAUCACUGUUGGCAACGGGCAAAGGGCCUCUUUCUGGCACUCCCCUUGGCUUGGGGGUCGCAAGCCAAAAGACAUCGCUCCCUCCAUUUUUGCAAUUUCCAAACACAAGAAUGACACCAUCCAUAGGGCUUUGGAUCUCAACAAGUGGAUUGCCAACAUCAACAAAAACUCUGGGCUCACAAUUCAGCACAUCCUUGAAUACUACUCCCUCCGUCCGGGUUUAUUAGGCCCGCCAACCGAAUCGGCAAGACCAAGGCAGUCUUCUAUUGGUGCAUGUUAGUUUAGGUAUUAAUCCUUUGAGUAAUUAGCUGAUGCUUAGUAUGGCACGUCAUUUAUUGUGAAUAAUUAUGCAACCACAAUCCCGCAUGCUUUGCACCAAUCACUACCUCUAGAGCCCACGCAUGCAACGUCUACGAAUUAAUUUUCCGCGGAACUAGCGGAUGGAGCUGCAACCCAAGCGCCAAAUCUCCACGCAUGCAGCGUCUAUGCAUUAAUUAUUUCCUCGAAAAUGCUGCCGAACGACGCUAAUCUCGCAUGGAUGCAUCGUUUUCAAUUAACUUUCCUUGGUAAUCGGACGGGAGGGCCUAAUAAGAAGGGACGCCGCAUUCUUGCUCACGGGCCCAAUAAACCCGGACGGAGGGAGUAUGAGCUUUGGGUUGGAUUACGAGAGGUCUUCCUUGAUGAGGGGGUGGAUGAUGAGAUUGUUUGGAAGCUUUCGCCUUCCGGUGAGUACACGGCAUUGUCGGCUUACAAAGCUCAACUCGACGACUCCACUACAUCGAACAUGAAGUCUGCAAUGUGGAACAAUUGGGCGCCGCCAAAGCACAAAUUCUUUGCUUGGCUUAUCAUUCAAGACCGUGUUUGGACGGCGGACAGGCUUCAACGGAGAGGAUGGCCAAAUUGCGGCCUAUGCCAGUUAUGCAAGAGGGAGCCAGAGACGGCGACACACAUCAUCUUCCGUUGUCGAUACACGGUACACAUUUGGACGGAGAUCAAGACUUGGAUGGGUUUGACCGAUGUGGACAUCAUCGACUGGAGUAACUUCAACAGCGUCAACGAUUGGUGGCAUCACAUGGUAGGCGUCAAUGGCAAUGUGAGAAAGGGCCUCGCAUCUCUCGUCAUGUUGGUUUCAUGGGAGAUUUGGAACGAGCGGAAUGCGAGAGUAUUUAGGAUGGUGUCCUCCAUGCCAAAUGUAAUCACGUCUAGAAUCAAGGCGGAGGUCAGACUUUGGGGGUUGGCAGGGGCCAAACGGCUGAGUUCUCUUAUGCCACGAGAGUAGGCUUAUCGGUUUCGGGCGUCUACGGGCGGUCGGUCAUGUAAUUCAAAACUCUUCUUAAUUAAUGAGAUGAGGCAAAUCUUUUGCCUCCGCUUCGAAAAAAGAGAGUUCUGUUUUAUUCUUAUAAAGGUUCAGUUAUAAGAUAUUUUUGUUUAUAUGUGACUCGAUAAAUGUAACUAACACACUAGGCAGAUGAUUACCAAAACUGUGAGAGCUGUCAGAAUUUAGCGCUCGAAUCACCUACUAAUAAUUUGUUCAAAACCAAAUAUCUAUGAGUAGAUAUGUUUGUACGAAGUAAUUUUGCUCAUUUUGUCUAAAGCAAGUUUUUUUGGCAGUGGCAGCUUUCAAGGCAUAAAAAACCAACACAUAUGACCUUAUACUGGUUCCCUUACACAUGUGGAGCAAUUGGCUUCUCUUUAUGCUCUCUAUGGUUAUUACGCCAUAGUAGCUUGAUGGGAAGUUCUGACGACUAUAACUUGGUUCGACAUGCUAAGGAGUCCAUUGCUAGAUUCUGGAGUGAUCCUGUUGAACCAGUAAGAUACUUAAUUUGUGUAUUUCUUUAAUAUUUUGUGUUAUACUAGUGCAAGUAAACUGAAAGUAAAUCAAACUAUUUUAGGGGUGUGCAACAUUUUAUUGGUCAUCUACCUGUACAAUAUAUGUUUCUGUGAGCUACUUUUUGUAGCCUAUGUUUGUUAGUUUACUUGUGCACCAUGGCUCUGACCAAAAUUUCUGAUUCAGAUAACUGAAAAGGGAUUGCGCAUUGCUUGCAGCUUACAUGUGCUUUUUGGGCACAGUAUUAGCAUAUCUGUAGCAAUCCUUGGUAGAUGAGUGUAUAUGAGCCAUCGGACUUGUUAAUACUAGAUAAUGCCCCGCGCGUUGCGACGGAACUCUAUAGCAUUUUUUUUGUGAGUGAAAUUUACAAAAAUACUCUUAUAGGAGUAUAAAGUACAGUAGGUAUCAUGAUUUGCAUGUGGUGGCAUGAAAAGUUUGUCCAUGAGGUGACUCUAGCACAUCUAGCAAAAUCAUCUUACCAUAUACAUACUUUGUUUACUUUUGUAUAAGACAUUUUAGACAAUCUAAAAUAUCUUAUAAAAAAGAACAGAUGGAGUAACAAAUUAAAAAAAGGUAAGUCCAAUUUGAAUUGGCGAUCAGACUUUUUUAUAAUGAGGUUAGACUCUAUUAGAAUGUCUACAUGUUGAAAAAAAAAGAUAAAUAAUAAUUCUUCAGGCGGCAUAUUUGUUGAGUACUGAGUUGGUUCUUCUAUCGGAGGGAUAAUGUGUUUCUUUUUAAACGUAAGUUGUUCAUACUGUGUUCUUUGGAAGUGAAGCUUAUGUUCUAACUGAACCAUAAAUCUGUCAUAAAACUUAGUUGGAUGUAAUGAAAGUUAGGCAUGCAUUGCGCUUUAAAACAAAGUGAUAUGUGUAAACAAUUAAACAUAGAUAAUAAAUUAACCAUUGGAGAUGAGAAACCAGUGAAGAAAGUAGGCAAUAGUAUAGAACAAAACAAUUAAGAUUUUCUUACCAAUCUCAUGAUAUAAUUUGGGGUUAUGGGCGUUUUAUCAUACCGUUUGUAG
rnacentral:lncRNA from 1 species